UUGUAUCUUGUGCAAACCAAAACCCCAGGAAAUAUUGGCGUUCAAGAACAGUCCGUCAAACCUCAGGAAACACAUUAAGAGAAAGCACGAGAGAUACCUGGAGAAGUACACCAAGCUAGCUAUUCAGAAAAGGAAGCAUGAGGAAGAUCCGAAUGACCAAGCAACACCCAAGCAGCUGAAACUGUGGGAUACACCUCGUGUAACACAGAAAGAAUUGACAAAGCAACUACAGAGAUGAAAGAGAAUCUCAAGGCGGCGAUGCAUGAUGUGGAGUUCAUAGGGACCACCACUGACUGCUGGACAGCAAACAGAAAGGGCUUCAUCGGUGUCACAGCCCACUGGAUACAUCCUACAAGUCUGCAGCGGUGCUCUGCUGCACUAGCAUGCAAGCAGCUGAAAGGACCACACAACUUCACUGCACUUGCAGAUGCUCUGACUAAGAUCCAUACAGAGUUCAACAUCAGAGACAAGAUUGUGCGUACAACGACAGAUAGUGGGUCCAAUUUUCUGAAAGCCUUCAGAGUGUACGGUGUCGAUGAUGAAAACAACAAUGCAGAACCAUUCGGGGCAGAGCCAGAUGAAUCAGGAGAGGAGGAUGGUGAAGAGAUCACGAUGGAGGCUGUUGAAGCCGGCCCCUUGCUGGAGCAGGAUGAUGGCCUGGAAUACCAACUGCCAAAGCACCAUCGCUGUGCCUGUCAUCUUCUGAACCUGGUGGAUGAUUGAUUGAGUUUAUGGAUCCAAGGGAUGACAU